GAUGAACGCUGGCGGCGUGCCUAAUACAUGCAAGUCGAGCGAACGGACGAGAAGCUUGCUUUUCUGAUGUUAGCGGCGGACGGGUGAGUAACACGUGGAUAACCUACCUAUAAGACUGGGAUAACUUCGGGAAACCGGAGCUAAUAUCGGAUAAUAUUUUGAACCGCAUGGUUCAAAAGUGAAAGACGGUCUUGCUGUCAUUUAUAGAUGGAUCCGCGCUGCAUUAGCUAGUUGGUAAGGUAACGGCUUACCAAGGCAACGAUGCAUAGCCGACCUGAGAGGGUGAUCGGCCACACUGGAACUGAGACACGGUCCAGACUCCUACGGGAGGCAGCAGUAGGGAAUCUUCCGCAAUGGGCGAAAGCCUGACGGAGCAACGCCGCGUGAGUGAUGAAGGUCUUCGGAUCGUAAAACUCUGUUAUUAGGGAAGAACAUAUGUGUAAGUAACUGUGCACAUCUUGACGGUACCUAAUCAGAAAGCCACGGCUAACUACGUG
rnacentral:rRNA from 1 species